rnacentral:rRNA from 1 species
GACGAACGCUGGCGGCGUGCCUAAUACAUGCAAGUAGAACGCUGAAGAGAGGAGCUUGCUCUUCUUGGAUGAGUUGCGAACGGGUGAGUAACGCGUAGGUAACCUGCCUUGUAGCGGGGGAUAACUAUUGGAAACGAUAGCUAAUACCGCAUAACAAUGGAUGACACAUGUCAUUUAUUUGAAAGGGGCAAUUGCUCCACUACAAGAUGGACCUGCGUUGUAUUAGCUAGUAGGUGAGGUAAUGGCUCACCUAGGCGACGAUACAUAGCCGACCUGAGAGGGUGAUCGGCCACACUGGGACUGAGACACGGCCCAGACUCCUACGGGAGGCAGCAGUAGGGAAUCUUCGGCAAUGGGGGCAACCCUGACCGAGCAACGCCGCGUGAGUGAAGAAGGUUUUCGGAUCGUAAAGCUCUGUUGUAAGUCAAGAACGAGUGUGAGAGUGGAAAGUUCACACUGUGACGGUAGCUUACCAGAAAGGGACGGCUAACUACGUGCCAGCAGCCGCGGUAAUACGUAGGUCCCGAGCGUUGUCCGGAUUUAUUGGGCGUAAAGCGAGCGCAGGCGGUUUGAUAAGUCUGAAGUUAAAGGCUGUGGCUCAACCAUAGUUCGCUUUGGAAACUGUCAAACUUGAGUGCAGAAGGGGAGAGUGGAAUUCCAUGUGUAGCGGUGAAAUGCGUAGAUAUGUGGAGGAACACCAGUGGCGAAGGCGACUCUCUGGUCUGUAACUGACGCUGAGGCUCGAAAGCGUGGGGAGCAAACAGG